rnacentral:rRNA from 1 species
AAACGUUAGCUGCGCCACUGAAAGACAUUGUCUCCCAACAGCUAGUUGUCAUCGUUUACGGCGUGGACUACCAGAGUAUCUAAUCCUGUUCGCUACCCACGCUUUCGCACCUCAGUGUCAGUAAAGAUCCAGGAGGCCGCCUUCACCACUGGUAUUCUUCAUAAUAUCUACGCAUUCCACCGCUACACUAUGAAUUCUACCUCCCUCUAUCGUACUCUAGUGAGUUAGUUUUGGAUGCAGUUCCUAGGUUGAGCCCAGGGCUUUCACAUCCAACUUAACAAACCACCUACGCGCGCUUUACGCCCAGUAAUUCCGAUUAACGCUUGCACCUUCCGUAUUACCGCGGCUGCUGGCACGGAAUUAGCCGGUGCUUAUUCUGCAGGUAACAUCACGGUUAUAAGGUAUUAACUUAUAACUUUUUCUCCCUGCUUAAAGUGCUUUACAACCCGAAGGCCUUC